AGGCUUUGAUCCUGGCUCAGGAUGAACGCUAGCGGCAGGCCUAACACAUGCAAGUCGAACGGUAACAUAAUCAGCUUGCUGAUUGAUGACGAGUGGCGCACGGGUGCGUAACGCGUAUGCAACCUACCUGUAACAGGGGGAUAGCCCGGGGAAACUCGGAUUAAUACCGCAUAACAAUAAUAAUUCGCAUGGAUUAUUAUUUAAAGAUUUAUCGGUUACAGAUGGGCAUGCGUCCCAUUAGUUAGUUGGUGAGGUAACGGCUCACCAAGGCAUCGAUGGGUAGGGGACCUGAGAGGGUGAUCCCCCACACUGGUACUGAGACACGGACCAGACUCCUACGGGAGGCAGCAGUGAGGAAUAUUGGUCAAUGGACGCAAGUCUGAACCAGCCAUGCCGCGUGCAGGAUGACGGCCCUAUGGGUUGUAAACUGCUUUUAUUCGGGAAUAAACCCCUUUACGUGUAGAGGGCUGAAUGUACCGU
rnacentral:rRNA from 1 species